UGGGAACAAGCUGUUUUAGCAUUUCAUUUACACUGAAAAGGUUCUUGUAAUACCACAAGGUUCUCAA
rnacentral:tRNA from 1 species